rnacentral:lncRNA from 1 species
AGCUUUUCAAUGCUGGUUUGGUGUUAACAUAAGACCUACAAGAACAUUUUAUUGAUAUAAUCGUAUAAACAUUUGAAUUGAAAAUUUCAAAAGAAAAAUCCUGAAUGGGCAUCUAAGGGCUAUCCUCAAAGACAGAAAUAUCCAGGUAUCUAAGGGCUAUCCUCAAAGACAGAAUAUUCAGCUAUCUAAGGCUAUCCUCAAGAAGAAAUAUUCAGCAUCUAAGCUAUCUCAAAGACAGGAAUAUUCAGGCAUCUAAGGGCUAUCCUCAAAGACAGGAAUAUUCAGCAUCUGAGGGCUAUCCUCACAGACAGAAAUAUUCAGGUAUCUAAGGGCUAUCCUCAAAGACAGGAAUAUUCUAACUUGUCAGGUCAGCAGUUUGUAUUUCAACACAUAUUGUUAAUAUUUUAAUGUUUGAACUUGUAUUGAUUUAUCAACAAACAAAUAACUCUUAACCUUCUGAUAUCAACAGAAUCGUGUAAAAAAUUCAACAACAUAUAAAACUAACAAAUGCACUCAUGCACAUGCUGUCAAAAUAUUUGACAAAGUUGAAAAGUCCAAACAAAUUUCAUUAAUGUGUAUUCAUUUUUAUUUGUGGGAUACCAAAUGUUUGUUAAUUUCUUUUGCAAAAGGAGCACCACAAAUUGACAAAUUUAAAGGUUGAAUUUGCAUAUGCUUAUAUGCUGACUUUUACAAAACCAUUAUAUCCAAUAUGCACAAAAAUACAAUUUGUACUCAAUCCACAGAAAUUGCACACCAAAAAAAAGUUCAUGCAGAGAUAUAUCUCAUCUGUAUAUAUAUGUAAACUAGAUUUUAUAAUUGAAAAUGUUGAUAUCAAAAU